UCUUCAUUGUCCUUCUUCUUCUUUUUAUCUCCCAACUCCGUCAUUCACUCAUUCAUAUCUUCGCGAUCUCUCGAGUUACCACUAACAUUUGAGGAUCGGAAAAUGGAAGUGCCGGUGAUCGAUCUGUCUCCGUACCUGGAGAUCUCGCCCGCCCUGAGCAGCUCCCGCCCGGAGGAGGUGGCAGACCAACUGGGGGCAUCGCUGAUGGGGCUGUGCGGGGAGGUGAGCCGGAUCCUGAGGGAGACGGGGGCCCUGAUGGUGAAGGAUCCCAGGUGCUCCGCCCUCGACAACGACCGCUUCAUCGACAUGAUGGAGAAGUACUUCGACGCCCCUCCUCACUUCAAGCGCUUCCAAGAGCGUCCUCACUCCCAUUACCAGGUUGGAGUAACCCCUGAAGGCAUAGAAGUUCCCAAGAGCUUGGUGGACGAAGAAAUCCAGGAGAAGUUGAAGGCAAUGCCCGAGGAGGUCCGGCCAGCUAUCCCAAAGGGCCCGGAUCUCAAGUGGCGGUACAUGUGGAGAGUAGGCCCCAGCCGUCGAACACCCGCUUUCAGGAGCUGAAUUCGAGCCUGUCAUUCCCGAUGGUUUUCCUGAAUGGAAGGAGACCAUGGAUGCCUGGGGUUACAAAAUGAAAUCAGCAGUAGAGACCGUCGCCGAAAUGGCAGCAAUCGGCUUUGGCUUGCCAAAAGAUGCAUUCACUUCUCUGAUGAAUCAGGGACCACUUCUUCUUGCCCCGACAGGAAGUAACCUCCGCCAGUACGGGCAGGAGGGAACCGUGUUUGCUGGGUAUCACUACGACAUUAAUUUUCUUACUAUUCAUGGUAGAAGUAGAUUCCCUGGCUUGAACAUCUGGCUAAGGAAUGGACAAAAGGUUGAAGUGAAGGUUCCUGUCGGUUGUCUUCUUAUUCAGACUGGAAAGCAGAUAGAGUGGCUAACUGCUGGUGAUUGCAUAGCCGGUAUGCAUGAAGUUGUUGUAACAAGUCGGACAAUGGAUGCUGUGGCAGCUGCAUCAAAGCAAAACCGCAGCCUCUGGAGGGUAUCUUCGACACUGUUUGCUCACAUAGCAACGGAUGCCAUGCUGAAGCCUUUAGGCCAUUUUGCGGAUUCCCCACUUGCAAGCAAAUAUCCUCCCAUGUGCGCUGGAGAAUUUAUCAAACAAGAACUUGCUGUGAUCAAUCUGAAAGGAAGCAAAGGAGAAUCCUGAUACUCUUGUUCCUUGGACGACUCUGGUCUUUGAAUAAUCAGAACAGCAUAGCAUGUUCAGUUAAUUUGAAAUGUAACGAACGGCGGUUGUUCUUUUUAUAUCCCUUGUUUGCUAAGUUUAGGUCAGAAGGCAUCAGAACCGUGAAAAAAAAACCCAAAUUGAUGUAGAAUGGUGCUGCAAGGACCGCCCGUGCGUGUGUUUUUAGUUCAUUGGUCUGGCUAAUCGUGACUUCAGUCAGAUAAUAAUAUACAUUUAUGGUGUGUUUGUUUGCGUUUU